UCCUACGGGGGGCAGCAGUGAGGAAUAUUGGUCAAUGGGAGAGAUCCUGAACCAGCCAAGCCGCGUGAGGGAAGACGGCCCUAUGGGUUGUAAACCUCUUUUGUCGGAGAACAAAACCCGGGACGUGUCCCGGACUGCGUGUAUCCGAAGAAAAAGCAUCGGCUAACUCCGUGCCAGCAGCCGCGGUAAUACGGAGGAUGCGAGCGUUAUCCGGAUUUAUUGGGUUUAAAGGGUGCGUAGGCGGUCCGUUAAGUCAGCGGUAAAAUUGCGGGGCUCAACCCUGUCGAGCCGUUGAAACUGGCAGG
rnacentral:rRNA from 1 species